AAAUUCUCUAUAUACUGAAGCCUAUGAUUUUUAUUGUAGUUUUAAAAUUUUUAAACACAUUCUAAAUUUGUAUUAAUGUAUAUUAAACUCUCUUUAAUUGUUUAUGGUCAUCAUUUAAAUUUUUUGUCAAUUAAUUUAAAUAACAUCAUAAUCCUCUAUAUACUAAAGCACAAGUCACUCAACCAAUCUUAUUUUGCCAUGUAAUAUUUGUUUACAAUUGUUUUUAAAUAAAAUCAAAUAAACCUAGAAAAAGCCUAUGGAAAAAAUACUAAACAACCCAUGAUCUAAUCCACGACCUAUUUUCUUUGUCCACGAUUUUUCUCUUUUCGCAUUCCUAUCUCUUCGAUUCGAUAUAGAAAACUCAAAAUCAAUCAAUAACAGAAAUAUGCUCCGUCUUUGAUUUCAAAACCUUAAUUCAAUAACAGAAAUAUGCUCUUUUUUUUUAAUUUCCAUAUUGAAUGCCCUGGGCCAGUGCAGAGGUACAUCUCUGAGUAAACGAUCUCAGUAACCCAUAGAUCCCGGCGAGGCUAUCUUACUCUGUGUGCAGUUUCGCAGGCUUCAGCGGAGAAACAUAUUGGCUCAUCUGAUCCAUUCUAGAGUCAAGAAAGUUCUAGAAAGGGUGGAUAUGUUUGAUCAGAAUGAUAUGAAUUGCUAGAGACCCACAAGAAAGAGAGGAAGAGGAAAAUAAAAAGCAGAGGCAGAUGAGGUAAAAUCACAAGACUGCCUUUUGAUCAAAGGUAUCACUAUCAUAUCGUUAAAGCGCACCGUAAAAUAUAGCAGGGUAUAGAUUGAAAACACCUUUGAAAAUAUGAUAAAGAGUACUACACUUUUUCCCCCCUAUAAAUGUAAUGUUUCAGAUUGCUGUUAAAAGUUUGGUUUAUGUACAGUUAUUAUAGGGACUAGAGAAACAUGAAGUGUUGAAGAUGACAAAAUUGUUGCUGCCCAUCAUGGGGAACAACGAUUAAAUUCUCAAACAAAUUAACAGAGGUGUUUGAUAUCUCAAAUUAUUCUUCAACUUAUUAUUAAUCUCAAAGAUGGAGAUACUAAAUAAAGUGUUUUUUGUAAUGAGUAAAUAAGGUAUUGGUAAGCUAGAAAAUGACCAAUCUAUAAUUUGUACUUUUCUAAUACUCUUGGGAAUGAGGUUCUUUUGAACUUUCGAUUUCGUUGAUUUUUAAAUUAAAUUGUAAUCUAUUUAGGCUUUCCUUAUUCAUAUAUUGCCGAAUAGUAUGAUUUUUCAAAGUGUGAUAUUGGGAAGAAUGAUAGACUAUAGUGUGAUUUGGCUCUAAAAGGAGUUAAGUUCAGUUGCUCAAAAAAAGGAGUUAAGUUCAAUAGCUAAAAGCUCAUUGCAGAUUCUAGACAUUAAACUAUCAUAACAGAGGUAUGGUUUUAUUUAAUGUUCCUUACUGCUCAUAGUUUGCAACUAAAACGUGAUAAGACUGCAAUCUGAUUUCAUAUAUCUUGAUUGAGAAUUAUAUAGAAGAUAUCAGUUUUGCUGAAAAUGGACUUCCACCUGCAGGUUUCAAGGCCUUCAAUGGCACAAAAUAAGUCAGCAAGAAUGAGAGCCUCUUUGGUUGAUAACAAUGUAAGCGCAUCAACCGGAUUAGGAUCUACUGUAGCGACUAAUCAUAAAACAGUUUUGUUCAAGAACUUCAAACUAAUAUUUGUGCUCCAAGAGCUAAUUUUAAUCGAUGUGAAUUUUUAUAAACAAAUUAAACUGUUUUUCAUAUGUUUAGUCAAUGAUAAGUGUGUUAACAUU